rnacentral:rRNA from 1 species
AUUGAACGCUGGCGGCAUGCCUUACACAUGCAAGUCGAACGGCAGCACGGGGGCAACCCUGGUGGCGAGUGGCGAACGGGUGAGUAAUGCAUCGGAACGUGCCCGGAAGUGGGGGAUAACGUAGCGAAAGUUACGCUAAUACCGCAUAUUCUGUGAGAAGGAAAGCAGGGGAUCGCAAGACCUUGCGCUUUCGGAGCGGCCGAUGUCGGAUUAGCUAGUUGGUGGGGUAAAGGCUUACCAAGGCGACGAUCCGUAGCUGGUCUUAGAGGAUGAUCAGCCACACUGGGACUGAGACACGGCCCAGACUCCUACGGGAGGCAGCAGUGGGGAAUUUUGGACAAUGGGGGCAACCCUGAUCCAGCCAUACCGCGUGCGGGAAGAAGGCCUUCGGGUUGUAAACCGCUUUUGUCAGGGAAGAAAUCUUCUGGGUUAAUACCUCGGGAGGAUGACGGUACCUGAAGAAUAAGCACCGGCUAACUACGUGCCAGCCGCCGCCGUAAAAC